UGACCACUGAUUGCUUUGGGAGCAGCUGCUGGUGGAGGUCUGAGUUAGGAAACAGGAGUGCUCAUAUAAGACACGCCGUUGAGUGUGUAAGGCAGGAUGGAGUUUACUUUGAAUCCCAGAUAUAAUCUGCCUGGAUUAAGUUACAACAUCUGAGGAGCGCAAGGCGCUGCUUCUCGGGAGUCAGCUAUGUCUUGUGGACUCCUUUUGUGGGUUCCCUGGCUUUGCUUAAUUUCUUUGCUCUUUGGUGGCAGCAAUGGUUCACCUGUGAUAACAGGUUAUGGAUUUCCAGUUAUGGAUAAGUCGAAUCAACUACUCAAUGCAAUGGAAAAUGAAGUUUUUAUCCCUUCGAUUAUCGAUGAGAUAAAAUGGCAUGCUUCAACUACCCAGCCAGCAGGCCAUGUGUAUGAAAAAUACAGUAAACAUACGGUCUUCCCUCUGCUGGAUUUAUCUCGGCAAAAUCAUCUCAGGAGACCAAGUGCUCGUAAAGGAGAGAAGCUUGAAAACGGCGCAUCGAGAUCAUGGGAAGUACAAAACCUUGACAAACUAUUCAAGUCUCCUUUGGGCCUGAAUUCAAAGCUUGACGUUCCAUCAAAGCCCCAGCUUGGGAAGCAUCUCCAAUCACCUUC